rnacentral:lncRNA from 1 species
CCCUGGUGACGCGGCCCGCGCGCGGACUCCUGCCGCCCGAGCGCCGCCGCCGCCGCCGCCGCGCCUACAGCAGCGCGCCGCAGUCCGGCCUCCCGCCCCAGCCCGGGAAGGAAGGCUGGCGGCCGCGUCACGUGUCCUCGGCGAUCGCGAAACAGUUCUAGUGGUAAGGAGUCCUUUCCAAAUAUAAGAGGAAUAAAGAAGUUACUUCCCCUGCUGCCAUCAUCUCCCAACAGACUGAGCAAGAAUAUUUCGAGCGCUACAGCAAAGACAGUCCAUCAAACCCUAGAUGAUGAUCAGCCGUGUGACUUUUUCAAGAAAGGGAAUAGGGUGAAUAAAUCUUAUCAGAAAAGCAGGUAAAUAGUUUUUCAUGUAAUUGCUUUAUCUUGCAAAAGGCACGUUAUCUCAGUUCUCCAGAUUGAU